ensembl:snoRNA
GGAUUUAUGAUGAGCUGUGAUUACUGAGCAUGAUGAAAUAAAGCUCAAAAUGAUGACUCUGAAGUCU